rnacentral:miRNA from 1 species
UAAAUGCAUUAUCUGGUAUGAU